rnacentral:rRNA from 1 species
AUACGAUCUAUGGAUGAAAGCGGGGGACCGUAAGGCCUCGCGCGAUUGGAGCGGCCGAUGUCAGAUUAGCUAGUUGGUGGGGUAAAGGCCCACCAAGGCGACGAUCUGUAGCUGGUCUGAGAGGACGACCAGCCACACUGGGACUGAGACACGGCCCAGACUCCUACGGGAGGCAGCAGUGGGGAAUUUUGGACAAUGGGCGCAAGCCUGAUCCAGCAAUGCCGCGUGCAGGAAGAAGGCCUUCGGGUUGUAAACUGCUUUUGUACGGAACGAAAAGGUCCGGGUUAAUACCCUGGGCUCAUGACGGUACCGUAAGAAUAAG